AUCGGGCCGUGGGGGCUACGGGGGCGCGGCCAUGCCGUGUGGGCGGGGCCCGCGCGCGGAGUGACGCGCGGCGGGCGGGGCGGGGCGCGGCCGGCGGCGGAAGAUGGCGCGGUGCGGGUGCGGGGCCGGGCUGUGCUGCUGCUGCUGCGGCGAGCGGGAGAGCCGCACCCCCGAGGAGCUGACGAUCCUGGGAGAAACUCAUGAAGAGGAGGAUGAAAUCCUUCCACGCAAAGACUAUGAGAGCUUGGAUUAUGAUCGCUGUAUCAAUGACCCGUACUUGGAAAUUUUGGAAAGCAUGGACAACAAGAAAGCCCAGAGAUACGAAGCAGUGAAGUGGGUGCUGGUUUUUGCUAUUGGAGUCUGUACAGGACUGGUGGGCCUCUUUGUAGAUUUCUUUGUGCGGCUCUUUACCCAGCUCAAGUUUCAGGUGGUACAAAGCUCGGUGGAGGAGUGCACUGAGAAAGGCUGCCUUGCACUGUCCUUGUUGGAGCUGCUGGGGUUCAACCUGACCUUUGUUUUUCUUGCCAGUCUUCUGGUCCUGAUCCAACCUGUAGCAGCUGGGUCAGGAAUUCCUGAAAUUAAGUGCUACCUCAAUGGAGUGAAGGUUCCAGGGGUCGUGCGUCUGCGGACAGUGGUGUGCAAAGCUACAGGAGUGCUCUUCAGUGUGGCAGGAGGUCUUUUUGUCGGGAAGGAGGGUCCAAUGAUUCACAGUGGUGCUGUUGUGGGUGCGGGCUUGCCACAGUUCCAGAGCAUCUCUUUGAGGAAGAUCCAAUUUAACUUUCCCUAUUUCUGCAGUGACAGGGAUAAAAGGGAUUUUGUAUCUGCUGGAGCAGCUGCAGGGGUUGCAGCUGCCUUUGGAGCCCCAAUUGGAGGCACUCUUUUUAGUUUGGAAGAAGGUUCCUCCUUCUGGAACCAGGGACUUACAUGGAAAGUGCUUUUCUGUUCCAUGGCUGCCACUUUCACCUUGAAUUUUUUCCGCUCUGGGAUUCAGUUUGGAAGCUGGGGGUCUUUCCAGCUCCCUGGGCUGCUGAACUUCGGGGAGUUUAAGUGCUCUGAGUCUGAUAAGAAAUGCCACCUCUGGACAGCUGUGGACCUGGGCUUCUUCAUUCUGAUGGGGAUUGUGGGAGGCCUUCUUGGAGCCACCUUUAACUGCCUGAACAAGAGGCUUGCCAAGUACCGCAUGCGCAAUGUGCAUCCCAAGCCAAAGCUGGUCAGAGUCUUGGAGAGCUUGCUUGUGUCAUUGACAACCACUGUCAUGGUCUUUGUGGCCUCCAUGGUUCUGGGGGAAUGCCGGCAGAUAUCUUCCAGCAGGCACAGUGGCAAUGACACCCUGAGCCUGCAGGAUAUAUCAGAGGAUGUAAAUUCAAGCAUCAAAACUUUUUUUUGCCCAAAUGAAACAUACAAUGACAUGGCCACGCUCUUCUUCAACCCUCAGGAGUCAGCUAUCCUGCAGCUCUUCCACCAGGAUGGUACUUUCAGCCCAGUCACCCUAUCCCUGUUCUUCCUUCUCUAUUUCUUACUCUCCUGCUGGACAUAUGGGAUCUCUGUGCCCAGUGGUCUGUUUGUACCAUCACUGCUUUGUGGGGCUGCCUUCGGACGCCUGGUCGCCAACCUCCUCAAAAGUUACAUUGGUCUGGAUCACAUCUACUCAGGAACCUUUGCGCUGAUUGGGGCAGCAGCAUUCCUGGGAGGAGUGGUCCGCAUGACCAUCAGCCUGACUGUCAUCCUCAUUGAGUCCACCAAUGAGAUCACCUAUGGGCUCCCCAUCAUGAUCACCCUCAUGGUAGCCAAGUGGACAGGAGACUUUUUCAACAAAGGCAUCUAUGAUAUCCAUGUGAACUUGCGAGGAGUGCCUCUUCUGGAGUGGGAAACUGGGAUGGAAAUGGAUAAACUACAAGCCAGUGACAUCAUGGAACCCAACUUGACAUACGUGUACCCACACACCCGGAUCCAGUCCCUUGUGAGCAUCCUGCGCACGACUGUCCACCAUGCCUUCCCUGUGGUGACAGAGAAUCGGGGCAAUGAGAGGGAGUUCAUGAAGGGAAAUCAACUGAUAAGUAACAACAUCAAAUUCAAGAAAUCCAGCAUCCUCACCCGAGCUGGAGAGCAGCGCAAGCGAAGCCAGUCCAUGAAAUCCUACCCUUCGAGUGAGCUGCGUAACAUGUGUGACGAGCACAUAGCAACAGAGGAGCCUCCUGAAAAAGAGGAUCUGUUGCAACAGAUGUUGGAGAGAAGAUACACUCCUUACCCCAACCUGUACCCUGACCAGUCUCCCAGUGAGGAGUGGACCAUGGAGGAACGCUUCAGACCCUUGACCUUCCAUGGCUUGAUCCUGCGCUCGCAGCUGGUCACCCUUCUUGACCGGGGGGUUUGCUACUCUGAGAGCCAGUCGAGUGCAAGUCAGCCUCGUCUGUCCCACGCAGAGAUGUUAGAGGAUUAUCCCCACUAUCCAGACAUCCAUGAUCUGGACCUCACAUUGCUGAACCCUCGUAUGAUAGUGGAUGUCACCCCAUACAUGAACCCAUCACCCUUUACUGUCUCUCCAAAUACUCAUGUGUCACAAGUCUUCAACCUGUUCAGGACAAUGGGACUCAGGCAUUUACCGGUUGUGAAUGCAGUUGGAGAGGUUGUUGGGAUAAUCACUCGGCACAACCUGACCCAUGAAUUCCUGCAGGCAAGACUGAGGCAGCACUAUCAGACCAUUUGAUGCCCCUGCCCCUCUGUCAGUGUGGCUUCCUCCCUCUCCAAGCUGGCACACAUGCUCGCAUUCUGCUUGGACAACACAAGGCCCAAGACCUCCCGUUUGGCUUCUCACGUGCAUAUCAAGCCUGGGGAACUGGGAAACAUUUUGCUAGCCAGAGAAUUAGAGGAGCUGCCUGAGCCCAGAGCUGUUGGUUGGCCUCAGGCACUUGGUUUGACAACUCUUGAUCCAGGUGUUUUCUUCCCCUGUCCCCCUGUUAUCUCCUUCCAUCAGAUGUUGUCCUGACACUGUGUGUUCUGCCAUUUUAUUUUGGGGUUUUCUGAAGAGUUGGAAGAAAGAACCAUUUCCCUCCACUGUGUCCUGGGCAAAGAACUGCAGUAUCUUUCCCUUCCUCCUGUGUGACUCCCUUUUCUUCUUCCUCCCUUGCUCCUGCAACUGUUGCCUUAUUUGUGUGAGAAGGAAGUUACUGUCACCACUGAGAGGAGAUACUGAAGUUUGCAGGGGAAACAACAGGCAUUCAGAUCAGUACUUGGUGAAGAAUCAAGAAUGAAGAUAAAUUGUCUUUCAGGACACCUAAAGUACUGUGCACACUUUCCUUCUCAUAUGGAAUAAGCGCGGCCACCACCUCCCAGCAAGUGUGCUGAAAAUCCCAGAUUUGGGCCACUUUUCCCUUUGCUACUGAGGUGAUAUCACCACUGAGACUUUGUAUUUGUGUGUUACCAACAAGAGCAGCACCUCGAUCUGCACCUCAGUGCAGACUGACUGUGGGGAGAGCGAGCACCUCCAGCCCUCCGCGACACCGGCUUCGGCACCACUGAAAAACACUAACGGUUAUUAACAGCCAAAUGCUUAAAUAAUGGGAUUUCUUUGAGCAUUGAUGGUAAGGCUUGACCCUGCAUCAAUAAAAUUUAAGGAACAGGCAGCCAGUUUCAGCAAUAUACUUAUUUUACCGUCGUACAAGAAAGAAACUUGUUCAAUGAGAGCUUAAAUAGAUAGCUGGUGUUAUUCAGAAUCGAUCCCAAAGAAAGAAUGGAUGAAUUUGUGUAUAUGUGAGUUUUGUGGGGAGUUAAAACAAAAUCUUAAAUAUAAUAUAUUACAAACUAAAAGUAUUUAUUUGUUUGAGUGCUGAAUGUCUUAAAAUUAGCUAGAAACUGCCUAUUCUUAGAUGAGAAAUUUAAAAAGCACAGAAAUGCUUCAAAUUUCUCUUCCAUUUUUGUCUUUGUACAUAUAGUAUAACUAAAAUGGAAUCUUUUUACAGAAAUGCAAGAGAGUUCUAAAUCAUGAAACAAUGGCUUUUUUUUUUUUGCAUUUUCUAAAUGUUUCGUGUUAUUUUAAAUUGAAACAACAAAUGUAGGAGUAAGUUGAAUGUCAGUCUAGUAAUAAUUUGUUGUAAUAAUUUGUUCAUAUGAACAUAAAUCUUGAAAGAAUCUCCUGAGUACAUUUUCAAAAUAAUAAUAGAAUGAUAAAGUAUUUCCCAUGUCUUAAAAGUCUUAACGUGGUGUUUAUGUACAAACAUGUGCACAUACUGUUCACAUGAUCAGCUACCAAAAUUAUACUAGAAAGGACAUUCUCAAGGUUGUGAAGUCAUGCUCAAAUGCUACUUCUUCCUAAUAUAGCCUGAAGUCAGCCCAACUCUGUGUAUGUUCCGAUGAAGCCCUUUAUUGUAAGAGCUCUGUUUUUCCUCAAUGCUUUAUUUUUUUCAGAACAUAAAGUCAAUACUGUUUUUUUUGUAUUAUUGUGUACUCCAACACUUUCUUAUUUUGUGCUUUUAAAAAAGAAUUAAGAUCCUGAUAGCUUAUUUAUAGCUUAUUUUUUACAAUUAACAUUCUACACUGCAGUGUCUGUAUAGUUCUUUAAUUAGUUACAAGUAUUCUUUUCCUGCUGCUCUUGGUUUGUGUGUGUUUGUUUGUGCCAAGGUGUUACUUUGUUUUGUAAACUGCAAAAGUUGGAGAAGAUAAACCAGAAUUAUUCAUUCAUUUUGAGUGUCCAAUUUAAGAUAAUUAGAAUCUGUUAUUGUUCUAUUUCUUGUUU